GCAAAUAUAACUCAAAUGGUAGAGUGUAAUCUUGCCAAGAUUAAAGUUACGGGUUCAAAUCCCUUUGUUUGCU
rnacentral:tRNA from 1 species